rnacentral:rRNA from 1 species
UACCAGCUCUUCGAGUGGUGUGGAUGUUUAUUGGGCCUAAAGCAUCCGUAGCUGGCUGGGCAAGUCCCCUGUUAAAUCCACCGAUUUAAUCGUUGGAGUGCGGGGGAUACUGUUCGGCUAGGGGACGGGAGAGGCAGACGGUAUUUUCGGGGUAGGGGUGAAAUCCUAUAAUCCCGAGAAGACCACCAGUGGCGAAGGCUGUCUGCUAGAACGCGCCCGACGGUGAGGGAUGAAAGCUGGGGGAGCGAACCGGAUUAGAUACCCGGGUAGUCCCAGCUGUAAACGAUGCAGGCUAGGUGUUUGGACGGCCACGUGCCGUUCUAGUGCCGCAGGGAAGCCGUUAAGCCUGCCGCCUGGGGAGUACGGCCGCAAGGCUGAAACUUAAAGGAAUUGGCGGGGAGCACCACAAGGGGUGAAGCUUGCGGUUU